rnacentral:rRNA from 1 species
UACGUAGGGUGCGAGCGUUAAUCGGAAUUACUGGGCGUAAAGCGUGCGCAGGCGGUUUUGUAAGCCAGAUGUGAAAUCCCCGGGCUUAACCUGGGAAUGGCAUUUGGGACUGCAAGGCUUGAGUGCGGCAGAGGAGACUAGAAUUCCUGGUGUAGCAGUGAAAUGCGUAGAUAUCAGGAGGAAUACCGAUGGCGAAGGCAGGUCUCUGGGCUGACACUGACGCUGAAGCGCGAAAGCUAGGGGAGCGAACGGG